rnacentral:lncRNA from 1 species
UCCAAAUUGAAUCAAUGAGUCACCAAAUUGUUAGUUCUUUUCUUCAUUAAUAGCAUUUGUAUUUGUUUAAUAUUCUAUUCUUUUAUUCUUUAAUUGGUUCUUACACUUAUAACUGUCAAUAUGCUUAGGUAAUGGAGCCUUGCUGCUUGAACGAUCUCCCUUCCGGAUAUCAUGGUAUCUACAAUCGGUUAAGUUUAUUUAUAAAUAUUGUAACACAUGAAAAAAUAAAAAUUGAUGCCAUAAAAAAUCUUUUAAAAUUCACUCUUCUUAAUCUUUCAGAUCCAUAAAGCAUUUUUUUCUUCUCCUAGAGUAAGUCGUCCAUUCAGCAUUAAUUAAUAAAAGGAAUACAAUCCCCUUUUUUCAGUUUGCAAAGAGUGGUUAAAAUUAUAAUUUUAUCAAUUUGUUUGUUCAAUUUUGGUACAAUUAUUAUUUUAAGUCAUCUUUAUAUACUGUAGUUUUGGAAAGAGUAUCAUGCUAUGUCUAAACUUCAAACAGUUAGCUUUGAAUGUUCGAAUUUAUGCACAGAAUCUUUACGUUGGAGAUUUUAUUGUUCAAACAUUAAGUAUUUAGCUUUAAAUGUUCGUGGACGUAGAGUACUUAUCUAUAAUCUGUUUAAAUCUUAUGUUUCGAUUUUAAUAUAUGUAUAUCUGUAUGGUUUUGUCAAUUACGACACAUUUUUUAUGUUUUUCUUGCUCCGAAGCACAUUUAGGUUUGAUGUCCAAUAGAGAAGGAGAUCUCCAUCCUGGCCUUUCUGUAUGAACUCAUCAUUGUAAGAUUUAUUAAGUUUGAUGCACUUGCUUGAAUUCCAUUGAUCAGUUGCAGCAGCAGCAACAACAAGAGCAGAACUAGAAAGAUCAAUAGCAACAGUAACAGUAACAGCAACGACAACAGCUACAACAUUAAAGUAGCGAAGCAGCAGUAGUAUACGAGAAUUAUAUGGAAUUACAUGUAUGUCUCACAGGAGCGGAGCUAAAGUACUAUGUACUUUCCAUAGAACUAGUAGUUUUUUUUAUUAGAUAUAUAUUUGUGUUAGGAAAUCCAGUAAUUAUGUAAUAAUAUUUAAUUGCGUAGCUAGAGAAUAUGUAUCUAUCUUAUAUCUUUGUUUUAGAGAACUCUAGUUUGUCUUAAAAGACAAAAUAAUAUACUAUAUGGUUCAUAAUUUCAUAUAACUAACCCUUAUGUUUAGUUUGUC